rnacentral:rRNA from 1 species
GAUGAACGCUAGCGGCAGGCCUAAUACAUGCAAGUCGAACGAGAUUAAGAGGCUUGCUUCUUAUGAAAGUGGCGCACGGGUGCGUAACGCGUAUGCAACCUACCUUAAUCAGGGGGAUAGCCCGAAGAAAUUCGGAUUAAGACCGCAUAAAAACACAGGAUAGCAUUAUCCAAUGUUCAAAUAUUUAUAGGAUUAAGAUGGGCAUGCGUGUCAUUAGCUAGUUGGCGGGGUAACGGCCCACCAAGGCGACGAUGACUAGGGGAUCUGAGAGGAUGACCCCCCACACUGGUACGGAGACACGGACCAGACUCCUACGGGAGGCAGCAGUAAGGAAUAAGGGUCAAUGGAGGGAACUCUGAACCAGCCAGGCCGCGUGCAGGAAGACAGCCCUCUGGGUCGGAAACUGCUUUUAUUCGGGAAUAAACCUUUCUACGUGUAGGAAGCUGAAUGUACCGAAGGAAUAAGGAUCGGCUAACUCCGU